UGCGUAGGCGGGCUAAUAAGUCAGUGGUGAAAUCUUCAGGCUCAACCGGGAACCUGCCAUUGAUACUGUUAGUCUUGAGUUCGGUUGAGGUAGGCGGAAUGUGUAAUGUAGCGGUGAAAUGCUUAGAUAUUACACAGAACACCAAUUGCGUAGGCAGCUUACUAGACCGACACUGACGCUGAGGCACGAAAGCGUGGGGAGCGAACAGGAUUAGAUACCCGGGUAGUCC
rnacentral:rRNA from 1 species